rnacentral:rRNA from 1 species
AUUGAACGCUGGCGGCAGGCCUAACACAUGCAAGUCGAGCGAGCGGAGGACGGGUGAGUAAUGUAUGGGGACUGCCCGAUCGAGGGGGAUAAAUACUGGAAACGGGGGCUAAUACCGCAUACUGACGGAUAAACCAGAUGGGAGUAGCUAGUAGGUAAGGUACAGGAUUACCCAGGAGACGAUUCCUAGCUGGUCUGAGAGGAUGAUCAGCCACACUGGGACUGAGACACGGCCCAGACUCCUACGGAGGCAGCAGUGGGGAAUAUUGCACAAUGGGCGCAAGCCUGAUGCAGCCAUGCCGCGUGUAUGAAGAAGGCCCUAGGGUUGUAAAGUACUUUCAGUCGGGAGGCGUUACCGACAGAAGAAGCACCGGCUAACUCCGUGCCAGCAGCCGCGGUAAUUC